AGUCGAGGGGCAGCAUGGUCUUAGCUUGCUAAGGCCGAUGGCGACCGGCGCACGGGUGAGUAACACGUAUCCAACCUGCCGUCUACUCUUGGACAGCCUUCUGAAAGGAAGAUUAAUACAAGAUGGCAUCAUGAGUCCGCAUGUUCACAUGAUUAAAGGUAUUCCGGUAGACGAUGGGGAUGCGUUCCAUUAGAUAGUAGGCGGGGUAACGGCCCACCUAGUCUUCGAUGGAUAGGGGUUCUGAGAGGAAGGUCCCCCACAUUGGAACUGAGACACGGUCCAAACUCCUACGGGAGGCAGCAGUGAGGAAUAUUGGUCAAUGGGCGAGAGCCUGAACCAGCCAAGUAGCGUGAAGGAUGACUGCCCUAUGGGUUGUAAACUUCUUUUAUAAUGGAAUAAAGUCGGGUAUGCAUACCCGUUUGCAUGUACUUUAUGAAUAAGGAUCGGCUAACUCCGUGCCAGCAGCCGCGGUAAUACGGAGGAUCCGAGCGUUAUCCGGAUUUAUUGGGUUUAAAGGGAGCGUAGAUGGAUGUUUAAGUCAGUUGUGAAAGUUUGCGGCUCAACCGUAAAAUUGCAGUUGAUACUGGAUAUCUUGAGUGCAGUUGAGGCAGGCGGAAUUCGUGGUGUAGCGGUGAAAUGCUUAGAUAUCACGAAGAACUCCGAUUGCGAAGGCAGCCUGCUAAGCUGCAACUGACAUUGA
rnacentral:rRNA from 1 species